ACAUUUCAUGAGUGUUUUACAUCCUCCGUCGGAUGGUCAGCAUACAUAAAAGAAUAAUAAUAAUAUCUUUCAACAGAACGAAAUAAUAAGUUUUUUCAACAGCAGUGACCUUAUAGAUUAAAUGAACAUUUUUUUGCAUACAGUUGUGGUAAACACUCCAAAGUAUGUUCUUUCACCGUCAGUUCUGACAUCAAAAUCGGCUGCAACUCCCACUGCCAACUCUUAUCUUUCAAAUAUUAUCAACAUACAAAUUUCACCCUUAGAAGUCAGGUGGCCAUGGAAGUCGGAAUCCGCUAAGGAGUGUGUAAUAACUCACCUGCCGAAGCAACUAGCCCUGAAAAUGGAUGGCGCUGAAGCGUCGUGCCUAUACCCGGCCGUCGCGGCGGGGCGGAUUCGUUCCGUUCGAUGCUGCGACGAGUAGGAGGGUCGCGGCGGCGUGCGCAGAAGGGUCUGGGCUCGAGCCUGCCUGGAGCCGCCGCCGGUGCAGAUCUUGGUGGUAGUAGCAAAUACUCCAGCGAGGCCCUGGAGGACUGAUGUGGAGAAGGGUUUCGUGUGAACAGCCGUUGCACACGAGUCAGUCGAUCCUAAGCCCUAGGAGAAAUCCGACGCCUACGGCGACGGGAUUUUUUGAAAACUUUUAAUAACCCGUUGAUCGGGCGAAAGGGAAUCCGGUUCCUAUUCCGGAACCCGGCAGCGGAACCGCUGUUUGUCGGGCCCUCACAAGGGGUUCGUCAGGGUAACCUAAAAGGGCCCGGAGACGCCGUCGGGAGCCCCGGAAAGAGUUUUCUUUUCUGCAUGAGCGUUCGAGUUCCCUGGAAUCCUCUCGCAGGGAGAUAGGGUUUGGAACGCGAAGAGCACCGCAGUUGCGGCGGUGCCCGGGAAUUCCCGACGGACCUUGAAAAUCCGGGAGAGGGCCACGUGGAGGUGUCGCGCCGGCUCGUACCCAUAUCCGCAGCAGGUCUCCAAGGUGAAGAGCCUCUAGUCGAUAGAAUAAUGUAGGUAAGGGAAGUCGGCAAAUCGGAUCCGUAACUUCGGGAUAAGGAUUGGCUCUGAGGGUCACCGCUCGCGCGCCGCUCUUCGGCCGCCAUUCAACGACUGGCUCAGAACUGGCACGGACUGGGGGAAUCCGACUGUCUAAUUAAAACAAAGCAUUGCGAUGGCCCCAGCGGGUGUUGACGCAAUGUGAUUUCUGUCCAGUGCUCUGAAUGUCAAAGUGAAGAAAUUCAAGCAAGCGCGGGUAAACGGCGGGAGUAACUAUGACUCUCUUAAGGUAGCCAAAUGCCUCGUCAUCCAAUUAGUGACGCGCAUGAAUGGAUUAACGAGAUUCCCACUGUCCCUAUCUACUAUCUAGCGAAACCACAGCCAAGGGAACGGGCUUGGAAGAUCAGCGGGGAAAGAGACCCUGUUGAGCUUGACUCUAGUCUGGCACUGUAAGGAGGAAGGGAAUAGUAGAAGUGAAGGCAUUGGGGGAAGUGGAAGCAGAGGUAGUAGAGAAUGCAUGAGUCACAGCCAAGCAAUUGCUUGCGUAGACAGUUUGCUGGAGUAAAUGGAGCAGUGGGAAUACAAGUACAGUCAUGUUAUCGCUGCUAAAAAGAUUGCACACAGGCGAAGAAGGAUCUCAAGAGUCCUGGAAGCUAAAUAAAAAAAACAGGCUAUAAGCAUAAAUAAUAAUAUAUUGUUUGAUUUACGUAAAUUAUGAACAUUA
rnacentral:rRNA from 1 species